rnacentral:misc_RNA from 1 species
UCCGGAUUAGAUACCCUGGUAGUCCACGCCGUAAACGAUGAACACUAGGUGUGGGCGGAGUCGAAUCUGUCUGUGCCGAAGCCAACGCGAUAAGUGUUCCGCCUGGGGAGUACGGCCGCAAGGCUAAAACUCAAAAGAAUUGACGGGGGCCCGCACAAGCGGCGGAGCAUGUGGCUUAAUUCGACGCAACGCGAAGAACCUUACCAGGACUUGACAUGCAGGGUAAACCCGUGGAAACACGGGGCUCCUUCGGGAGCCUGCACAGGUGCUGCAUGGCUGUCGUCAGCUCGUGCCGUGAGGUGUUGCCUUAAGUGGCGCAACGAGCGCAACCCCUGUCCGAUGUUGCCAGCGGGUAAUGCCGGGGACUCUAGAGAGACUGCCGGUGCCAAACCGGAGGAAG